UACUCUUCAGUGAUUGGGAGGACUUUAUUCCCAGAAAUAUAAUAUAGCAAAAUCAUAUUCUUUUUACUGCUUUUAAACAUCAAUUUUGAUGUUGUCUACGUAUUCCAGUGUGUGUUUUUAUUUUACUUGAUUUAGUAUCAUAAAGUGUUGUCUUACUGCAAUCUUAAUAUUUCUCCAUCUAUUAUAUAUAGUCACUUGUCUUUUUUAGUUAAGAUCUGAGGCUGGGUUAGUAUAUUUUGAGGCCUAGUGCUUCACUAGCUACUUUAGCAAAUGAAGUUAGUGGGAAUUUACCCACUGAAGUCUUAGAUACCAUUCUCCCAGUUUCCCAUUAUUUUAUUGC
rnacentral:lncRNA from 1 species